GACGAACGCUGGCGGCGUGCUUAACACAUGCAAGUCGAACGGAAAGGCCCUGCUUUUGUGGGGUGCUCGAGUGGCGAACGGGUGAGUAACACGUGAGUAACCUGCCCUUGACUUUGGGAUAACUUCAGGAAACUGGGGCUAAUACCGGAUAGGAGCUCCUGCUGCAUGGUGGGGGUUGGAAAGUUUCGGCGGUUGGGGAUGGACUCGCGGCUUAUCAGCUUGUUGGUGGGGUAGUGGCUUACCAAGGCUUUGACGGGUAGCCGGCCUGAGAGGGUGACCGGCCACAUUGGGACUGAGAUACGGCCCAGACUCCUACGGGAGGCAGCAGUGGGGAAUCUUGCACAAUGGGCGGCAGCCUGAUGCAGCAACGCCGCGUGCGGGAUGACGGCCUUCGGGUUGUAAACCGCUUUCGCUCAUGACGAAGCUUUGUGUGACGGUAGUGGGUAAAGAAGCACCGGCUAACUACGUG
rnacentral:rRNA from 1 species